rnacentral:lncRNA from 1 species
UCUAGCGAUGCUGAAAGGAGAAAUUAAAGUGUAUCUAAAACUCCUAGUGCGCCCUGCGAGCCCCAAACACGCUACCGGGGUGCCGCCUUGCCUCCUCCCUCAGACAGGGUUGAGCGCAACUUGCCCACGCAGGAGAAAAGACGGAGGUGCCCUCAGAAUUUUACCUCAGGUUCUCCUGUUUUAACUCACAGACCUGCUUCUUAUGCUUUAUAACGACUGCUUAUACCUUUCCUUUUCGAGUCUUAACACUAUCUGGUGGCGAAAAAUUAGCAAUGUGUAUGUGUGUCCUCCCUCUGGAGGUAAUGGAACAGUCCGCCGGGUUCCAGGAUCCGAGCCUUCUCGUUUAACCCCUUUCCUGCCGAUCCCAAAGAAUCUGCCUGGAGGAAACGCGGGGGGGAGCCUGCCUCGGGGUUCUGCUACGUUGGAGCACCGCAGGCAGUAAACCCAAUUGCUGCAUAUCUCUAGAAGCACCUGUCCUGCCUCACUGGAUUACAGAUGUAUAGGAAAGAUGAUUUCUGUCUUCACUUCAUCAACAUUCACAGUCUUUUUUGCCCAGCAAGCAUCUAUGCCUUUCAGGAUUAUUUACAGUGUUUUGAAGUACUUUUGGCAUGAGAGGUACUAUGGAAAUGAAGAUGGCAGUUUUUCCUUCUGCUGUGUAUUGGCAUCACAGUACACCUACACAGAUGUGAUUGGGAUUGUGGGAUGGGAAACAACAUGCCUUGAAGUUAAAUUAUGGAAUCACUGUCAUGACAAAUGAG